rnacentral:lncRNA from 1 species
CUAAAGGGGAAUCGGUAGCCUCCCGCCCAAGGUCUGCAGGCUUUCUUCCGUUCUUGGGCUCUUUGGGCCUCGCCCCUCCCUCUCACAUUCCCAACUCCCAAGGACAACUUGUCGCUGGCUUCAGACGCCCGCCCUGCCUGAGGUUUCCUUGUGUCCCGGACUCUGCUGUUUUUCUUUUGUCUAAUUUGUCCAUUUCUGCACUUGGCAAUUUCUUGGGAACUAACUUGAAUCUACUUCUCCCUUGUCUGUAAUAGUCUCUUCUCUCUCUCUCUCUCUCUCUCUCUCUCUCUCUCUCUCUCACACACACACACACACACACACACACACACACACACACACACACACACACACACUGUCUUCUUUUCUUCCUCUUAGCCAUCUCUGGGUCUUCCAGCUGGCUCUGGCCUGUCCCUGGCACCUCCCAGCUACCUACUGAUCCGACGGCGCCCAAGCCGGUAUAGGCUGGUAAGACUGCUCCCGGGAAGGAGGCUCCGGGAUGAUCCACGCGGCCGCGCCCCGCACCCACCGGCGGCGCCACGGAGACGCAGAGUUCUCCAGAUCCUCCAAGCGCCGUCGGCGCCACCACUCCAGACACUGUUCACGAGGCCUCAAAGCGUGGAGGCGGUGGCCCGGGGCCGACUCUCGGGUGACCGCCAAUUUGGUCCCAAGACACUUCAGGAUCUCGCAACGGAUGGAGGACAGCGCGGUUCCAAGAGGACAAGAGGGGAUAUAAACUGUUUGAAGUUCAUCAGCACGGUGAAGUUUUAUUGUAUUUCCGGUCCCUAAAAGAGAAGCCGGCAGCCAGGCAGACUCCCUCCUUAUCUCCGAGUUUCCACGCCAGGGACACACACGUGGCCAAGCGGACACUUGCCUUCGGGAGCAGGGAGGGAGAGAGCCCGCUCCGAUCGACUCUCCCUCACCGGCUCAGUUCUACUUGGCUCCACUCUCCUGUCUACUCCCCUGUCUCAAGGCUGGGGUUGCCUUAGAGUUGGAUAUCUGAGAGCUGCCUGGGAGUCUGGGUAACCCUGGAGCCCAGGGCCUGGCCAGAUGGGCACAAGCCAGGAGCCCAAAGGUUCUUCCUCUGAUCCUUUCUCUAAACUAAACCAGUGAAGAAUCUGCAGCAAAGCCCGGGAGAGGAAUGGGAACCAGGAGGGCAGCGGGCAGAGCCCAGCGCCUAUACAGCUUGGGUCUUAAAAACAGCCUUGCUCCAUCACGUUUCCAUAAAUAAAAGAGCCCCGGCCCAGAGUUCA